CGUGCAGGUGGUUCGGUAAGUUGGAUGUGAAAGCUCCUGGCUCAACUGGGAGAGGUCGUUCAAAACUACCGGACUUGAGAGCAGUAGAGGGAGGUGGAAUUCCCGGUGUAGUGGUGAAAUGCGUAGAUAUCGGGAGGAACACCAGUGGCGAAAGCGGCCUCCUGGACUGUUUCUGACACUCAGACGCGAAAGCUAGGGUAGCAAACGGGAUUAGAGACCCCGGUAGUCCUAGCUGUAAACGAUGUGAACUUGGCGUCGGCGGGUUCAAAGCCGUCGGUGCCGAAGCCAACGCGAUAAGUUCACCGCCUGGGGACUACGGCCGCAAGGUUAA
rnacentral:rRNA from 1 species